rnacentral:rRNA from 1 species
UACAGAGGGUGCGAGCGUUAAUCGGAAUUACUGGGCGUAAAGCGUGCGUAGACGGUUAUUUAAGUCGGGUGUGAAAUCCCCGGGCUCAACCCGGGAACUGCGUCCGAUACUGGGAGGCUUGAAUCCGGGAGAGGGAUGUGGAAUUCCAGGUGUAGCGGUGAAAUGCGUAGAUAUCUGGAGGAACACCGGUGGCGAAGGCGGCAUCCUGGACCGGUAUUGACGCUGAGGCGCGAAAGCCAGGGGAGCAAACGGG